GACGAACGCUGGCGGCGUGCUUAACACAUGCAAGUCGAACGGAAAGGCCCUGCUUUUGUGGGGUGCUCGAGUGGCGAACGGGUGAGUAACACGUGAGUAACCUGCCCUUGACUUUGGGAUAACUUCAGGAAACUGGGGCUAAUACCGGAUAGGAGCUCCUGCUGCAUGGUGGGGGUUGGAAAGUUUCGGCGGUUGGGGAUGGACUUGCGGCUUAUCAGCUUGUUGGUGGGGUAGUGGCUUACCAAGGCUUUGACGGGUAGCCGGCCUGAGAGGGUGACCGGCCACAUUGGGACUGAGAGACGGACCAGACUCCUACGGGAGGCAGCAGUGGGGAAUAUUGCACAAUGGGCGGAAGCCUGAUGCAGCAACGCCGCGUGCGGGAUGACGGCCUUCGGGUUGUAAACCGCUUUCGCCUGUGACGAAGCGUGAGUGACGGUAAUGGGUAAAGAAGCACCGGCUAACUACGUG
rnacentral:rRNA from 1 species